GAGUUCAAGAGUACGUGAAACUGCUUAGAGGUUAAGCCUGAUGAACCUGAAUAUCCAUUAUGGAAAAUUCAUCACUAAUACUGUGUUAUUAAUAAUAUCAUAGAAAUAGUGUGCAAUUUUUCCAUAUAAGGACAUUGUAAUCUGUUAAUGUAAUAAAUAUUUAUUAAAAAAUCUUAUACUAUAGUUUAUUCAAAUUAGUUAUUUUCGAAUUUCUAACAUAGAAUAAAUGUAUUUGAUUUAAUAAAUCAUUGACAGAUUUAUUUAUAUAUAGUGCUUAAAUUUUUUUUUAAAAUUUUACAAUAUUAUAUUAAUUUUAUUUAUCAUAUUUAUUGNAUGCACUUAUAUGAUNUACAAUGCAAUAGAUNCAGGAUACCUNCGGGACCCGUCUUGAAACACGGACCAAGGAGUCUAACAUAUGUGCAAGUCAUUGGGUAUUUUUAAUAAAACCCAAUGGCAUAAUUAACUUAACUGUUUUUAAAUGGGAUUAGUUUAUAUUUUGUUAUGAAUUAUGAAUUCAAUCCCGGGGCGUUCUAUACAGUUAUGUAUAAUGAUAUUUAUAUUAUUUAUACCUCUAACU
rnacentral:rRNA from 2 species